GAUGAACGCUGGCGGCGUGCUUAAUACAUGCAAGUCGAACGGAGAGUUAGCAAUAGCUCUUAGUGGCGAACGGGUGAGUAACGCGUUGGUGACCUGUCCCGAAGAUGGGGGAUAACAGUUCGAAAGGACUGCUAAUACCCGAUGUGGUUGUGAGAGUUAGAGGUCUUGCAACUGAAGGAGCAAUCCGCUUUGGGAGGGGUCUGCGUCCCAUCAGCUAGUUGGUAGGGUAAAAGCCUACCAAGGCGUAGACGGGUAGGGGACCUGAGAGGGUGAUCCCCCACACUGGCACUGAAACACGGGCCAGACACCUACGGGUGGCAG
rnacentral:rRNA from 1 species